rnacentral:rRNA from 1 species
AUCAAAUAAGCUUUUAAAGAGCAAAUGGUGGAUGCCUUGGAAGUCAGAGGCGAUGAAGGACGUACUAGGCUGCGAUAAGCUAUGGGGAGUUGCCAAGAAACUUUGAUCCAUAGAUUUCCGAAUGGGGAAACCUAACUAAUAGAGAUAUUAGUUGCCUUAUAUAAGGAGCAAACCUAGGGAAGUGAAACAUCUCAGUACCUAGAGGAAAAGAAAUCAAUUGAGAUUCUCUUAGUAGCGGUGAGCGAACGGGGAAGAGGGCAAACCAAGUGCUUGCACUUGGGGUUGUGGACUGCAAUAUCCACUAAAAUAACUUAGCAGAAUUACUUGGAAAGGUGAAUCAUAGAGGGUGAUAGUCCCGUAUGCGACAAGUUAUUUUUAGGUAGCAGUAUCCAGAGUAGGUCAGGACACGAGUAAUCCGGACUGAAGCAGGGGAGACCACUCUCCAACCCUAAAUACUACUGACUUACCGAUAGCGAACAAGUACCGUGAGGGAAAGGUGAAAAGAACCGCAGUGAGCGGAGUGAAAUAGAACCUGAAACCAUUUGCUUACAAUCAUUCGGAGCACUAUAGUGAGUCCCUUUGAGGAAUUAAGUGGGGGGGGGUAGAUUAUUAUCUUUCUCUACUACCUAGUUUCUCUUUUUAUUAUCAAUAAUAAGGAGGAAAAUUAUGGGAAAAGGGAACUCAAAUCCAAACUAUCCUUCCACAACAGGUAACCCUAGUGGUGGUGGUAGGGGUAAUACACCUAAAGGCAAGUAAUGUAAAUUUUACUAUUGCAUGUAAAGUUAGGCAUUAAAUUAAGAUUUAUAAGUAAUCAAUAGAUAAUUUUAUAAUUUUUAUAGAUUCUUAUAAAUCUUGUUUGUUUUGUGGUGCAAUUCUUCAAAGGGGCUCACUAGUGUGACGGACUGCCUUUUGCAUAAUGAUCCUGCGAGUUGUGGUAUCUGGCAAGGUUAAACUAAUGUGAAGCCGUAGCGAAAGCGAGUCUUAACGGGCGUUUAGUCAGAUGCUGCAGACCCGAAGCUAAGUGAUCUAUCCAUGGCCAAGUUGAAACGAGUAUAAUAGCUCGUGGAGGACUGAACUCGUACCCAUUGAAACGGGUUGGGAUGAGCUGUGGAUAGGGGUGAAAGGCCAAACAAACUUAGUGAUAGCUGGUUCUCUUCGAAAUAUAUUUAGGUAUAGCCUCAAGUAAUAGUAAUAGGGGGUAGGGCUCUGAUUGGGCUAGGGCUGCUCACCGCGGUACCAACCCCUGUCAAACUUCGAAUACCUAUUACCGUAUCUUGGGAGUCAGGCGGUGGGUGAUAAAAUCAAUCGUCAAAAGGGGAACAACCCAGACUACCGAAUAAGGUCCCAAAGUUCUAUUCUAAGUGGAAAAAGAUGUAUAGUUACUUAGACAACCAGGAGGUUGGCUUAGAAGCAGCCAUCCUUUAAAGAAAGCGUAACAGCUCACUGGUCUAGUGAUUGUGCGCUGAAAAUAUAACGGGGCUAAGAUAGACACCGAAUUCGUAGAUUGUGCUGAUGCACAGUGGUAGAAGAGCGUUCGUAUCUGCGUUGAAGCCAUACCGGCAAGGAAUGGUGGAGCGAUGCGAAGUGAGCAUGCAGGAAUGAGUAGCGAUAAAAUAUGUGAGAAUCAUAUUCGCCGUAAAUCUGAGGUUUCCUACGCGAUGCUCGUCAUCGUAGGGUUAGUCGGGUCCUAAGACAAGUCCGAAAGGGGUAGUCGAUGGAAAAUAGGUUAAUAUUCCUAUACCAACUAUUGUGCGUGAUGUGGGGACGCAUAGGGUUAAAUGAGCUAGCUGAUGGAAUAGCUAGUCGAAGUGCGUAGAUUGAGAGAUAGGCAAAUCCGCUCUUGUAUUCGAAACAUUACAGGCUCUUUGAAGUCUUCGGACAGAUAGGAGAAUCAUUGAUACCGUCGUGCCAAGAAAAGCCGCUAAAUUUAACAAUAGUUGCCCGUACCGUAAACCGACACAGGUGGAUGAGAUGAGUAUUCUAAGGCGCGUGAAAGAACUCUCUUUAAGGAACUCUGCAAACUAACACCGUAAGUUCGCAAUAAGGUGUGCCUAAGCAAUUAGGUCUCAGCAAAGAGUCCCUCCCGACUGUUUACCAAAAACACAGCACUUUGCAAACUCGUAAGAGGAAGUAUAAGGUGUGACGCCUGCCCGGUGCUCGAAGGUUAAGAGGAUUAGUCAGUCAGCAAUGACGAAGCUUUGAAUUGAAGCCCGAGUAAACGGCGGCCGUAACUAUAACGGUCCUAAGGUAGCGAAAUUCCUUGUCGGUUAAAUACCGACCUGCAUGAAUGGCGUAACGAGAUGGGAGCUGUCUCAAAGAGAGAUUCAGUGAAAUUGUAGUGGAGGUGAAAAUUCCUCCUACCCGCGGCAAGACGGAAAGACCCCGUGGACCUUUACUAUAGCUUGGUACUGCAGAUGGGAAUAUUAUGCGCAGGAUAGGUGGGAGACUUUGAUAUCUUUACUCCGGUGGAGAUGGAGUCACCCUUGAGAUACCACCCUUAAUAUUUCUGUUUGCUAACUGGCUUGAGUUAUCCUCAAGCAGGACAAUGCCUGGUGGGUAGUUUGACUGGGGCGGUCGCCUCCUAAAAAGUAACGGAGGCUUACAAAGGUUGGCUCAUUGCGGUUGGAAAUCGCAAGUUGAGUGUAAUGGUAUAAGCCAGCUUAACUGUAAGACAUACAAGUCGAGCAGAGACGAAAGUCGGUCAUAGUGAUCCGGUGGUUCUGUGUGGAAGGGCCAUCGCUCAAAGGAUAAAAGGUACCCCGGGGAUAACAGGCUGAUCUCCCCCAAGAGCUCACAUCGACGGGGAGGUUUGGCACCUCGAUGUCGGCUCAUCGCAUCCUGGGGCUGGAGCAGGUCCCAAGGGUAUGGCUGUUCGCCAUUUAAAGCGGUACGCGAGCUGGGUUCAGAACGUCGCGAGACAGUUCGGUCCCUAUCUGCCGUGGGCGUAGGAAAGUUGAGGAGAGCUGUCCUUAGUACGAGAGGACCGGGAUGGACAUGCCACUAGUGUACCAGUUGUUCUGCCAAGAGCAUCGCUGGGUAGCUACGCAUGGUUGUGAUAACCGCUGAAAGCAUCUAAGCGGGAAGCCAACUCCAAGAUUAACUUUCCCUGAAGGUCGCAGGAAGACUACCUGCUUGAUAGGGUAGAUGUGUAAGCAUAGUAAUAUGUUUAGCUGACUACUACUAAUAGACCGUUCGGCUUAUUUAC